rnacentral:lncRNA from 1 species
UAUUUCAAACUGCCCUACAUCUGUCAAAGCCUACUUACAUUCUUCUUUUUCUUCUUUUCAGUUUUUUUCUGGAGAAACUCUUAGACCUUUUCUUCUGUUUAGUGAGGAACACACUUUUUCAGGCCUAGAAUUGGAGCACAACACUAUUGGAACAACCACUUCAUAAGCUCUUUAAUGUUGUCCUGUUCCAAAUCCAUAACCAUUAGUGUGGAGUCUGUCCCCCUUUGCAGUGUGGAGAAUUGGAGAUGCCUGAAGUGCAGCAGUGUUCUGUUGUGGUGAGGAUAUUUUAGAUGCUUAUUUUAAUUGUGAGGCCUGUUGAAACCUGCUGUUUAAAUGUCCUUAGUUGAACCUGUCAGAGGCAAUGUCACCAGGCAGGAAGAUCAGGCAUGCAGGUUAAUACUGAUGUUUAUCUGCAUUACCAGGACAAAAGUCAUCAGACUUUCUGCAUAAUUUAUUCUCACACUAUUGUUUUUACCUGUGACUCCUGACACAGUGCUGGGGGUGUGUCCUUCAGGUGCCUCUGUAACGUAGGCUAUAUAAAGCAUCCUCGUAGGAAGCGCAGAAAUGUGUGUGAACUUUAUUGCGCUUUUUCAGCUGAGCGAGGAAACUUUCUGGAAUAAUUACCUGGAUCUGAGUUUUCCUUCUUGAAGAACAGCAAACUGAGUGAGAAUGAGGGAAGAACUGGUGAACAGUGGACUCCCUCCAGACCCCCAGGAGAUGAAUCCUGUGGGCCAUCUCAAUCUGGCGUUCACUCAGGAUGAGAAAGCUCAGGAGAACGAUAAAUCUGAGAAGAAGCCAGACGACUCCAAAUCAAAGGACAAGAAGUAAGUGAUUGCUUAUUUUCUGUUUUCUGUUGAAGCUGUUUGAUCGCUGGUCUCCAGCUCUCCUGUUUCCUACGAGUCGUGUCGGAAACAUAGUAUUUAUGAGAU